rnacentral:misc_RNA from 1 species
GAUGAAGAACGUAGUGAAAUGCGAUAAUUAAUGUGAAUUGCAAAUUCAGUGAAUCAUCGAGUCUUUGAACGCACAUUGCGCCCCCUGGUAUUCCGGGGGGCAUGCCUGUCCGAGCGUCAUUGCUGCCCUCAAGCACGGCUUGUGUGUUGGGCCCCGUCCUCCGAUCCCGGGGGACGGGCCCGAAAGGCAGCGGCGGCACCGCGUCCGGUCCUCGAGCGUAUGGGGCUUUGUCACCCGCUCUGUAGGCCCGGCCGGCGCUUGCCGAUCAACCCAAAUUUUUAUCCAGGUUGACCUCGGAUCAGGUAGGGAUACCCGCUGAACUUAAGCAUAUCAAUAAGCGGAGGA